GAUGAACGCUGGCGGCGUGCCUAAUACAUGCCAGUCGAGCGAACGGACGAGAAGCUUGCUUCUCUGAUGUUAGCGGCGGACGGGUGAGUAACACGUGGAUAACCUACCUAUAAGACUGGGAUAACUUCGGGAAACCGGAGCUAAUACCGGAUAAUAUUUUGAACCGCAUGGUUCAAAAGUGAAAGACGGUCUUGCUGUCACUUAUAGAUGGAUCCGGGCUGCAUUAGCUAGUUGGUAAGGUAACGGCUUACCAAGGCAACGAUGCAUAGCCGACCUGAGAGGGUGAUCGGCCACACUGGAACUGAGACACGGUCCAGACUCCUACGGGAGGCAGCAGUAGGGAAUCUUCCGCAAUGGGCGAAAGCCUGACGGAGCAACGCCGCGUGAGUGAUGAAGGUCUUCGGAUCGUAAAACUCUGUUAUUAGGGAAGAACAUAUGUGUAAGUAACUGUGCACAUCUUGACGGUACCUAAUCAGAAAGCCACGGCUAACUACGUG
rnacentral:rRNA from 1 species